UCCGUCUGUUCAUCCCCAGGAGGCGACCUCUAUCAAGGGAAAGACUUCAAGAUUCUCGUUGAAGUCAAGGGAGAACAGAUCUGUGCACACUUAGUGGCAGCGACUCUCGAAGAGAAAGCAGCCUGGACCUCCGAACUAGCGCAGUGUAUGGAGAGCGCCGCGUUGACAGAGCUGCUUAGAGCUUGCGGUUCGUGUGGUGCCGCCUCCGCCAGUCUGCCUGCCUGCCGAUCCGACCGAGCUCUGUUCACUGAUGACGUCGACAUACGGUUCAGCAGGACACUGAAUUCAUGCAAGGUGCCACAGAUCAGAUCGGCCACCCC